GCUAAUUCCGUGCCAGCAGCCGCGGUAAUACGGAAGGUCCAGGCGUUAUCCGGAUUUAUUGGGUUUAAAGGGAGCGUAGGCCGGAGAUUAAGUGUGUUGUGAAAUGUAGACGCUCAACGUCUGACUUGCAGCGCAUACUGGUUUCCUUGAGUACGCACAACGUUGGCGGAAUUCGUCGUGUAGCGGUGAAAUGCUUAGAUAUGACGAAGAACUCCGAUUGCGAAGGCAGCUGACGGGAGCGCAACUGACGCUUAAGCUCGAAGGUGCGGGUAUCAAACAGGAUUAGAUACCCUUGUAGUC
rnacentral:rRNA from 1 species